AGACCCGAAACCCGGUGAUCUAGCCAUGGGCAGGUUGAAGGUUGGGUAACACUAACUGGAGGACCGAACCGACUAAUGUUGAAAAAUUAGCGGAUGACCUGUGGCUGGGGGUGAAAGGCCAAUCAAACCGGGAGAUAGCUGGUUCUCCCCGAAAGCUAUUUAGGUAGCGCCUCGUGAAUUCAUCUCCGGGGGUAGAGCACUGUUUCGGCUAGGGGGCCAUCCCGGCUUACCAACCCGAUGCAAACUGCGAAUACCGGAGAAUGUUAUCACGGGAGACACACGGCGGGUGCUAACGUCCGUCGUGAAGAGGGAAACAACCCAGACCGCCAGCUAAGGUCCCAAAGUCAUGGUUAAGUGGGAAACGAUGUGGGAAGGCCCAGACAGCCAGGAUGUUGGCUUAGAAGCAGCCAUCAUUUAAAGAAAGCGUAAUAGCUCACUGGUCGAGUCGGCCUGCGCGGAAGAUGUAACGGGGCUAAACCAUGCACCGAAGCUGCGGCAGCGACACUAUGUGUUGUUGGGUAGGGGAGCGUUCUGUAAGCCUGCGAAGGUGGCCUGUGAGGGUUGCUGGAGGUAUCAGAAGUGCGAAUGCUGACAUAAGUAACGAUAAAGCGGGUGAAAAGCCCGCUCGCCGGAAGACCAAGGGUUCCUGUCCAACGUUAAUCGGGGCAGGGUGAGUCGACCCCUAAGGCGAGGCCGAAAGGCGUAGUCGAUGGGAAACGGGUUAAUAUUCCCGUACUUGGUGUUACUGCGAAGGGGGGACGGAGAAGGCUAUGUUGGCCGGGCGACGGUUGUCCCGGUUUAAGCGUGUAGGUGUGUGUUCCAGGUAAAUCCGGUUCACUUUAACACUGAGGCGUGAUGACGAGGCACUACGGUGCUGAAGCAACAAAUGCCCUGCUUCCAGGAAAAGCCUCUAAGCAUCAGGUAACACGAAAUCGUACCCCAAACCGACACAGGUGGUCAGGUAGAGAAUACCAAGGCGCUUGAGAGAACUCGGGUGAAGGAACUAGGCAAAAUGGUGCCGUAACUUCGGGAGAAGGCACGCUGACAUGUAGGUGAAGUGAUUUACUCACGGAGCUGAAGUCAGUCGAAGAUACCAGCUGGCUGCAACUGUUUAUUAAAAACACAGCACUGUGCAAACACGAAAGUGGACGUAUACGGUGUGACGCCUGCCCGGUGCCGGAAGGUUAAUUGAUGGGGUCAGCGCAAGCGAAGCUCCUGAUCGAAGCCCCGGUAAACGGCGGCCGUAACUAUAACGGUCCUAAGGUAGCGAAAUUCCUUGUCGGGUAAGUUCCGACCUGCACGAAUGGCGUAAUGAUGGCCAGGCUGUCUCCACCCGAGACUCAGUGAAAUUGAACUCGCUGUGAAGAUGCAGUGUACCCGCGGCAAGACGGAAAGACCCCGUGAACCUUUACUAUAGCUUGACACUGAACAUUGAGCCUUGAUGUGUAGGAUAGGUGGGAGGCUUUGAAGCGUGGACGCCAGUCUGCGUGGAGCCGACCUUGAAAUACCACCCUUUAAUGUUUGAUGUUCUAACGUGGACCCGUGAUCCGGGUUGCGGACAGUGUCUGGUGGGUAGUUUGACUGGGGCGGUCUCCUCCUAAAGAGUAACGGAGGAGCACGAAGGUUGGCUAAUCCUGGUCGGACAUCAGGAGGUUAGUGCAAUGGCAUAAGCCAGCUUGACUGCGAGCGUGACGGCGCGAGCAGGUGCGAAAGCAGGUCAUAGUGAUCCGGUGGUUCUGAAUGGAAGGGCCAUCGCUCAACGGAUAAAAGGUACUCCGGGGAUAACAGGCUGAUACCGCCCAAGAGUUCAUAUCGACGGCGGUGUUUGGCACCUCGAUGUCGGCUCAUCACAUCCUGGGGCUGAAGUAGGUCCCAAGGGUAUGGCUGUUCGCCAUUUAAAGUGGUACGCGAGCUGGGUUUAGAACGUCGUGAGACAGUUCGGUCCCUAUCUGCCGUGGGCGCUGGAGAACUGAGGGGGGCUGCUCCUAGUACGAGAGGACCGGAGUGGACGCAUCACUGGUGUUCGGGUUGUCAUGCCAAUGGCACUGCCCGGUAGCUAAAUGCGGAAGAGAUAAGUGCUGAAAGCAUCUAAGCACGAAACUUGCCCCGAGAUGAGUUCUCCCUGAGACUUUAGGUCUCCUGAAGGAACGUUGAAGACGACGACGUUGAUAGGCCGGGUGUGUAAGCGCAGCGAUGCGUUGAGCUAACCGGUACUAAUGAACCGUGAGGCUUAACCUU
rnacentral:rRNA from 1 species